CGUACACUCCUACGGGAGGCAGCAGUGGGGAAUAUUGCACAAUGGGCGCAAGCCUGAUGCAGCCAUGCCGCGUGUAUGAAGAAGGCCUUCGGGUUGUAAAGUACUUUCAGCGGGGAGGAAGGCGAUAAGGUUAAUAACCUUGUCGAUUGACGUUACCCGCAGAAGAAGCACCGGCUAACUCCGUGCCAGCAGCCGCGGUAAUACGGAGGGUGCAAGCGUUAAUCGGAAUUACUGGGCGUAAAGCGCACGCAGGCGGUCUGUCAAGUCGGAUGUGAAAUCCCCAGGCUCAACCUGGGAACUGCAUUCGAAACUGGCAGGCUAGAGUCUUGUAGAGGGGGGUAGAAUUCCAGGUGUAGCGGUGAAAUGCGUAGAGAUCUGGAGGAAUACCGGUGGCGAAGGCGGCCCCCUGGACAAAGACUGACGCUCAGGUGCGAAAGCGUGGGGAGCAAACAGGAUUAGAAACCCCGGUAGUCCCAUG
rnacentral:rRNA from 1 species